GCCUGGAUAGCUCAGUUGGUUACAGCAUGGUGCUUGCUGAUAAUGCCAAGGUUGCAGGUUCGAUCCCUGUAUGGGACA